GAUGAACGCUGGCGGCGUGCCUAAUACAUGCAAGUCGAGCGAACGGACGAGAAGCUUGCUUCUCUGAUGUUAGCGGCGGACGGGUGAGUAACACGUGGAUAACCUACCUAUAAGACUGGGAUAACUUCGGGAAACCGGAGCUAAUACCGGAUAAUAUUUUGAACCGCAUGGUUCAAAAGUAAAAGACGGUCUUGCUGUCACUUAUAGAUGGAUCCGCGCUGCAUUAGCUAGUUGGUAAGGUAACGGCUUACCAAGGCAACGAUGCAUAGCCGACCUGAGAGGGUGAUCGGCUACACUGGAACUGAGACACGGUCCAGACUCCUACGGGAGGCAGCAGUAGGGAAUCUUCCGCAAUGGGCGAAAGCCUGACGGAGCAACGCCGCGUGAGUGAUGAAGGUCUUCGGAUCGUAAAACUCUGUUAUUAGGGAAGAACAUAUGUGUAAGUAACCGUGCACAUCUUGACGGUACCUAAUCAGAAAGCCACGGCUAACUACGUG
rnacentral:rRNA from 1 species